rnacentral:rRNA from 1 species
UACGUAGGUCCCGAGCGUUGUCCGGAUUUAUUGGGCGUAAAGCGAGCGCAGGUGGUUUAUUAAGUCUGGUGUAAAAGGCAGUGGCUCAACCAUUGUAUGCAUUGGAAACUGGUAGACUUGAGUGCAGGAGAGGAGAGUGGAAUUCCAUGUGUAGCGGUGAAAUGCGUAGAUAUAUGGAGGAACACCGGUGGCGAAAGCGGCUCUCUGGAACGGUACUGACGCUGAGACGCGAAAGCGUGGGGAGCGAACAGG